UACGAAGGGGGCUAGCGUUGCUCGGAAUGACUGGGCGUAAAGGGCGCGUAGGCGGUGCAUUUGGUCAGGCGUGAAAUUCCUGGGCUUAACCUGGGGACUGCGCUUGAGACGGGUGUGCUGGAGGGCAGGAGAGGCUCGCGGAAUUCCCAGUGUAGAGGUGAAAUUCGUAGAUAUUGGGAAGAACACCGGUGGCGAAGGCGGCGAGCUGGCCUGUACCUGACGCUGAGGC
rnacentral:rRNA from 1 species